rnacentral:rRNA from 1 species
AUGGCCACGUCCCUCCUCCUCCUCCUGCUCCUCGCGCUGCUCCUCCCCUCCCCCGCCCCGGCCCGCGCCGCCUCGCUCUCCCCGCUCCCGGCCACUUCCAACGCCUCGGCGCACGCCUACGCCUUCGCGGGCCGCGAGCCGGUGCCCGCCCCGGAUCCCACCUUCUUCGACGACGUCAUCGACGCCGUCGCCGACAAGUACGGCUGGGACCCCGACGCCGAGGUCCGGGUCUGGCCGCUCGACGCCGGGGGCGCGUUCGUCGGCGCCGUGCAGCGCUACGAGUUCCGCGCCCGCGCGGGGGGCGCCGCGGCCGCGCUCGCGCGGGCCUCCGACGGGUUCGUCGACUGGAGCCGCCCCGACGCCCCCGCGGUGGAGGAGGUGCUCGGGCCCGACGGGGUCGACUUCGUCGCCGGCCACGGCGCCCUGGCGUUCGGCUCCGGCGUCAGGGACCUCGACCUCGUCGGGCCGCUCGAGGUGUUCGUCUCCGAUGGCGCUGGCGGGGGCCUCGCGGAGCUCCACUUACCGUCGUUGAAUGCCACGUAUACAGGGUUGAAGAGGGUACUUGUUGCUGCUGGUGUUGCAUUAAAGAUUACUGGUGCACAGAGAGUGUUCUUUUCCCAUCCUCACAGUAUAGGUCUCUUAGCAAAUGGAAGCUUGGUGGCUACUAACAAGGACCUAAGACAAAUAUUGCCUCUCAGCCACUCAACCUGUGCGCCAUUACUUCACAUGCGUGUUGUAGGAUCAUCAGUUACAAUAGUUGCACAUGAAACCAAUGUCUCUGGGGGGCACAUGAAGCCCUUGUUGACUUCUGGUGACGCUAUCGAGUUACUAUCAGACCAGUCUGAAGUGAACGACAUGUCAGGUCGGUUGAUCUCAGCAUGUGCGUUCUGUUCAAUUAGUCCAAGGUUGCCGAAGCUUGAAAAACUCCUGAAGACUUGGUUCAGUGAGAGGAAUGGGUUCAACAGAACAAUGAACUUCUUCGAAGCUAGAGUGACGUCAAUGACCCUGGUAAAAUUCCGUUUGGAGCUCGAGAGGGACAUUACUGAAGAGGACGGCAUGUGGGACGAUGUUCCAGAGUGGAAAACCUUGCCUGUGGUCCAGCGAAUCACGCUUGACGUUAUCGCUAGGGUUGAGGAAGAGGGGAGGCUCAAGGCUAUAUCGGUGAAGAAGGUGAGGAAAUCUCUACAGAUAGCGGACGCUACUUCGUGGAGCAGCCUGACUUCGAAUGUCUCCUUCGCAGACUUCACGUCGUUGGUUCUGCCGCCUGAUCCAUUGUCACUGGAUGUAAAGUGGUAA